AGCCCUGGGCAAUUCACCUUUUCUUUAAAUACUCAUGUCACAUUUGUGCUGUUGCCAAUGCUUCUCAGACCCUCCAGAUGAGGACAUUUCCCUGAGGAGGUGGCUAUGAUGGUAGAACUUACAAGACUUCAGUGGACAUAAGUACAAGUAUCACACAAAGACAUUCUGGAGAAUGGCAGAAAAGUGAGCGAAGCCAGAAAAACAACACUUCAAAAGGAGACGGGGUCAAGGUGGCAGGCAAGAUGGUCAAAUAGAAGUAGCUUCAGUCUGCAGCUCCCAGUGAGAUCAACACAGAAGGAAACAAUGCCAAGAAUACGUUAAUCUAAACCCAUGAUGUUUCUACAUCUCAAAGAACAGAGAGAAAAGGAAACUGGAGAGAGGCCAGAAGUGACCAACUCUAUUCCCUCAUUUCUGUGUUAUACUCCCUUUGUCUAAUCUUCCCUACCCUACCAGGUGGUUUAAGAAUUUUAUCCUUUCUCCAGACUAGAAGAGGAAGUGGGGGCCGGAAUUAGGUGUAUACAAAUUGUUGGAAAGCCUUUGUGUGGAUUUGGAGGGCUGAAGUAGAGUAUCAUUUUUACAAAGCAGCCCAAGCCUCUAAUCUGAGCAGGAAGAUUCACACUCAUUCUCUGGCAUGAGUCCUAUCAGGAGGAUCAAUGAAGCCAAGGCUGUAGAAAUAAAUAAUUAAUCUCUCCACCCAAGGAGGCUAGUAAACAAUAUUCAAUACGUGAAUACUGAGUUCUGCCAAGAGGAAGAAGCAUAUAAACCAGGCAACUGCUGAACGCAUUGCCAAAAAGGGAGACUUACGCAUCAUUCACUAAAGCUUUCCAAAAACUAAAUCAGAUCCAAGAACAGAUAAACUCCUGCAGAAUGACAAUGGUGGAGAAAUUGACCUCCCAGCAUUGCAGACUUACAUCAGUUGUUCUGAUGUUCUUAGUUAUAUCAGAUUCCUUCCAGAAUCUUCUAAAUAUAUCAGACGGUCAGACACAACCCCAGGCCCUAAUAAAAAACCCUGAUGCUGGCCUACA
rnacentral:lncRNA from 1 species